UGCACCCCAACCGAUAACUCCAGCAUGCUUUAGGAUAGCUGGUACAGCAAUGCUUCCAAUUGCAGAAGCUCCAGUCAAGAACCUUGUUGCAGUCACCCAACUUUUCCCAUUAUCAGAUUCAGAUAAAAGAGAAUAACCGUCGGAGCCAGCAAGAAACAUCAAAGGCAUUGGAAUGAGUACAUACAUUAUUAAUGCAACAGCAAUGCAAUAUGUCAGCAUAUGAUUAAAUGAAGCAAUAUGAUCUUUCUUCUUUGAAUAAAAGAAGGGACAGGAAAAUCUCCAGCCUCCCUGCUUGUACACACUUGAACAUAUACAUUAUGUCAAGUAUGCAUUUAAGCAAUAAACAAGUGGGCUCAUUG